rnacentral:tRNA from 1 species
GAAGGUACAGCUCAGUGGUAGAGUGCAUGCUUAGCAUGCAUGAGGUCCUGGGUUCAAUCCCCAGUCCCUUCA